rnacentral:SRP_RNA from 1 species
GCCGGGCAUGGUGGCGAGUGCCUGUAAUCCCAGCUACUUGGGAGGCUGAGGCAGGAGAAUCGCUCAAACCCGGGAGGCUAAAGUUGCAGUGAGCUGAGAUUGAGCCACUGCAUUCCAGCCUGGGUGACAGAGUGAGAAUCUGUCUCAA